UACGUGAGGGGCGAACGUUGUUCGGUGUCACUGGGCUUAAAGGGCGCGUAGGUGGCUGCGUAAGUAAGGUGUGAAAGCCCUCGGCUUACCCGGGGAAUUGCGCCUUAUACUGCGUGGCUUGAGGAUCUCAGGGGAAGGGGGAACUCCGAGUGUAGCGGUGAAAUGCGCAGAUAUUCGGGGGAAGGCCGGCGGCGAAGGCGCCCUUCUGGGAGAUUCCUGACACUGAGGCGCGAAAGCGUGGGGAGCAAACAGG
rnacentral:rRNA from 2 species